rnacentral:lncRNA from 1 species
AUGGCACAUAUUUUUCAGGAACUUGAGAUAUUUCUCCUAAAGAUGAAUCAACUGGUUCAGAAGCCUGCCUUAAGGUCUCCAUUAUAUGAACACACAUUUCUUGGGGAUGCAAACUUAAGGCCAAUAAUUGAAGAAAAUGCUUUUCAAGUUUUGUCGCAAGAAUCCUUGAUAUAAAGGCAAUGUUACAUAGUUUGUGUCUCUGAGCCAGAUAAAGAUAAUGAUUUUCUUUCUCUGAUCUUACCCAGAAAACUUUGGCAAAGUGACCAAUUCAACUCUAUUUGGUGGAAUAAGAAUGGAACUUGCAUAGUGAUAAAUGAGAAGUUUUGGAAAGAAAGACUCUUUUACAGAAUAUUUGAAACUGACAGUAUGAAAAGCUUAGCUCAACAGCUCAACCUUCAUGGAUAUAGUAAAAUUUCACAGAAUUUUCAAAGAUCUGAUAUUCUAGCUGACCUUCUGGCAGAAGAAAAACAAAAAUCUCUGUUUGAAGCAAGUUACAGUUCUAUCAUAUUCCAAAUUUUAAACAUGGCUGUCCUCAACUUUUAAUAAGAAUGAAAAGAAGAGCUGGGAUUAAAAACCCUUAUGUAUCUACUUUAGUUGCUGAAAAUGCCAACAAGAAGCACUUUAGAGCAGGGGGUAACAUGGAUAAUCAUAAUUCCAGCUCAGUGGCUGAAACUAGUGGAGAAAGUUCAUUUUCUAACUCUACAAAUUUAAAUAUGCCUCUAACAAGGAAGUCUAUUGUCAGCCAGAGAAUUGCUAAUUCACCUGAAACAAUCCAAAGUGUUUUUUCUUUCUCCUCCAUUUCAGCCUCAGUUGGACCAUCAGACAAAAUUGCAACAGAUCAGCAUGCUAUUUUAAAUCAGUUGGCCACUAUUCAUAUGCACUCUCAUAGCACCUGCAACGCAAGCAAAUGGCCACAUUAUGAAUUUUGUUACAACCACAACUUCCCAAUACCACAUCGUAACUUCGAUACAGAACAGUUCUUCGGGGCUAAUGGUGGAACCAUCUGCUUUUCCAACCAGACAUUUUGAGGUAUUAGUCAAUAAGGCUUCUUAUCCUAACUGGCUACCAGCAGGCAACCAGUGGUUCCAAAUGCCUGUGAUAGCUGAUUCAUCAGCUGCCUCUAAUUCCAGGCCAGCUCAUAACUAUCUUCACUUGACAAAUAUCACCCUAAUUACAACUGA